AACGAACGCUGGCGGCGUGCUUAACACAUGCAAGUCGAACGGUAAGGCCCUUCGGGGUACACGAGUGGCGAACGGGUGAGUAACACGUGGGUGAUCUGCCCUGCACUUCGGGAUAAGCCUGGGAAACUGGGUCUAAUACCGGAUAGGACCCUGGGAUGCAUGUCCUGGGGUGGAAAGCUUUUGCGGUGUGGGAUGGGCCCGCGGCCUAUCAGCUUGUUGGUGGGGUGAUGGCCUACCAAGGCGACGACGGGUAGCCGGCCUGAGAGGGUGACCGGCCACACUGGGACUGAGAUACGGCCCAGACUCCUACGGGAGGCAGCAGUGGGGAAUAUUGCACAAUGGGCGCAAGCCUGAUGCAGCGACGCCGCGUGAGGGAUGACGGCCUUCGGGUUAUAAACCUCUUUCAGCACCGACGAAGCGCAAGUGACGGUAGGUGCAGAAGAAGGACUGGCCAACUACGUGCCAGCCGCCGCCGUAA
rnacentral:rRNA from 1 species